rnacentral:rRNA from 1 species
ACACUAGAAAAGAUAAUUUUAACUUAAAAUUUAAAUUUAAUUUUAAUGAAAAGUUUAAAAUUUGAUUUUUAGACGAUAAGACCCUAUGAAGCUUUAUUAUCAUUAAUUUUUUUGGGGAAAACCAUAAUUUAUUUAUUAAUACUUAGGCGUGUGCAGAUCUUUAAGAAUUAUAAGAAUAAGCUACUCUAGGGAUAACAGCAUAAUUUUUAUUAAAGUUCUUAUUGAAAUAAAAGAUUGUGACCUCGAUGUUGAAUUAAGAAAUAUAAUUUGUGCAGCAGCUAAUUAUAUCUAGUCUGUUCGACUAUAUUAUCUUACAUGAUCUGAGUUCCAAACCGGA